UACGUAGGGUGCGAGCAUUAAUCGGAUUUAUUGGGCGUAAAGGGCGCGUAGGCUGAAAGGCAAGUCAGAUGUGAAAUCCCGGGGCUCAACCCCGGAACAGCAUUUGAAACUGCGUUUCUAGAGGGUAGGCGGAGAAAAUGGAAUUCCACAAGUAGCGGUGAAAUGCGUAGAUAUGUGGAAGAACACCAGUGGCGAAGGCGGUUUUCUAGCUUAUUCCUGACGCUGAGGCGCGAAAGCAAGGGGAUCAAAC
rnacentral:rRNA from 1 species